rnacentral:lncRNA from 1 species
CCAAAGGUGGAUCAUUGAAUAUAGUUAAUAAUAUGAAAAGGAUUACUCAUUUCUUUUACUAUAGUUGAUCGUAUUUAUACCCAAAGGUAGGAUACUAUUAACUUGAAUCUGAAAUGAUUAAUCAUUAAAGUCUAUUCUAGCAUCACUGAAAGUGUAUGUGUUUAAGUAUUGCCCAAAGGUUGCUUAAAUACAAAUUUGAAAGUUUAUAUUAAGUUUAGAAUCUGAAA